rnacentral:rRNA from 1 species
AUACGUAGGGUGCAAGCGUUAAUCGGAAUUACUGGGCGUAAAGCGUGCGCAGGCGGUUUUGUAAGACAGAGGUGAAAUCCCCGGGCUCAACCUGGGAACUGCCUUUGUAACUGGAAGGCUAGAGUAUGGCAGAGGGGGAUGGAAUUUCGCGUGUAGCGGUGAAAUACGUAGAUAUGGAGAGGAACACCGAUGGCGAAGGCAAUCCCCUAGGCCUGUACUGACGCGCAUGCACUAAAGCGGGGGGAACAAACAUGAUUAUAUACCCUGGAAGUCCCCGCCCUAAACGAUCUCAACUGGUGUUGGGGUCUUUAUUGACUCAGUAACGAAGCUAACGCGUGAAGUUGACCGCCUGGGGAGUACGGCCGCAAGGUUGAAACUCAAAUGAAUUGACGGGG